UAGGUGACCAGCGUUGUCCGGAUUUACUGGGCGUAAAGAGCGCGCAGGCGGUCGUUCAAGUCGAGUGUGAAAGCCCCCGGCUCAACUGGGGAGGGUCAUUCGAUACUGAUCGACUCGAAGGCAGGAGAGGGAAGCGGAAUUCCCGGUGUAGUGGUGAAAUGCGUAGAUAUCGGGAGGAACCCCAGUGGCGAAGGCGGCUUCCUGGCCUGUUCUUGACGCUGAGGCGCGAAAGCUAGGGGAGCAAACGGG
rnacentral:rRNA from 1 species